UCAAAUUUCGCAAGCAAUCCAGCUACAUAGCUAUACUAGCUAGCUAGAGAGUCCUAGAACGCCUAGCCUUCAUCUAACUAACUUGUCUUCUCCAGAACAUCUUUUACUAAGCUUUAUGAGUAUACGGAAGUGCCCGGAAGGCAAUAAUUGAACUUCAAUUGUUCAUGAAGUUUGAGCGUCAUUUACUCAAGGUUGCAAUACCUUCGUAGCGUUCCCUCGAACAUAUCUCCGGAAAGAAAGUAGCUAGGAGGUCGAUCUUGGUAUCAUUUUGAAGCUUAAAGGACGCUCUAUCCGAUUCAACAAUAAAAACUGAUUUGAAACUGCCCGCGUUAAGGUCCCUUUUCAUUGGCACUGUCACAUGUUCAUCAUAACUAUAAUUAUGACCUUUGGCAUUCAGUCUUUGCAUGCUAGGACACUAUCACUGAGCCAGUAUAGUUAAUAGUCAGCUAAUUGCAACCGACUGUUAAUUUAUACCUCUGCAUAUAACAAUACUUGUGGCAUGCUCUUACGUAUAAUUAUUAGCUUUGUGGUCAUGCCAAGGGCGUAUAGAGAGAAGAGGGCAUGCAACUCGCCCUAUUCUCAGAAUCAUCCGACUUCGUAUUGAGCUAUUUUUAGAACUGCCCACAAAAACGCCCACGCGUAACCUUUGACCGCACAAGGUAAAUCAUUAUAUCUGUAUAAGCUAGCUCGAUUGCAGCAUAGUAAGCAUAGUAGUUCCCAGCAGUAUGGCUCGUACUAGCAGUGUCAAAGGCAAAGGCAAACCAUCCAACAGUUGCAACUCCAAGAAGAUGAAACCUAUAGGUACAAUAAACCUGUCUUCCUGAGUCUCUGGUACUUCUUAACAAUGCGCCCAGCACUUAACUUCCCGCUCGAAGGGGUUGUCUUGGACCUGGCUGGACUAGGAGUGGUCAUGACACUUCUCUAAAAUAAUACUGCACUGUUAGCUUUUCCCAUUGAAGCCGUCAUAAUUAUAACGGCCACUCUAGUAGUGAUUUUCAAAAGUUCACGUGGUAUCUUUAAUAAGCCGCCUCGAGGUACGCUUCGUACAGUAAUUUGUUGCAUUUUGAGUGGGCAGAUCAAAGGAAAUACUGUGCCAAUAUCUGCUAUAUCCGAAUAGCCGCGGUUAUGAUUUCAUACGUAGUACCGCCCACCGCGGAACCAAAAUCUAAGUGUGUUCUAAAGGAUUUAGUGCUGUCACGUGAGCUCUAGCCUCGUGGCAGCUAGAUCUAGCUACAUUUUAAAUCAGUUGCUGGUGGCUAGCUAGCUAGCUAGACGUAAUAGCAAGUUUUAGUAGGUUUGUAGAUCCAGUAACUGAUGCAAAGGAGAAGGAGAUACUAUCUAAAGCUAUCUGGACUGACUGGGCAUGUUCUCGACUUAUUUCUCCUGCUGAUCAACAGUCCCGAUCCCACUACUGGAUAUGCCUCCAGCUGAUCUGGCUUACUGGAUGGGAAACUUUGUGCGCAAACUAUAUGGCAAUGAGUAUCUGGUUUGCUCUUUUGGAACGCUAUGAUAUUCGAAGCAAUUAUAUGGAUCUGGCUUAGGUACAGGUACGUACAUCUUCGAAGCAAGCUGAGUCUAUUUCUCCAGACGAAAAAGCGAUGCUAUGGUCAAGUCAGCAAUUCGGUACACUUACUACACAUGAAACAAGUCGAAACGAUAACAUUCAACUUUCUAAUACUUUUCAGCUUUGCUUGUGUACGUAUUCAAUCUGCUUGUAUUAUUAUUAUAAUUAUGAUGACAUUCAGAUUCAAUCUGCUUGUAUUAUGGUUGUUUGAUAAAAAGUGUGCAUUAACAAACCAACUUAAAGCACACUUAACCAACUUAGAGCUCACUUAAGUGUGGAUUAAGUUAUUUAAUCCAUGGUCACCUGACUGCUUUCAGAUAAACUGAUUGGCUGGAGAUCAUGUGAUCAGCACUAAUUAAUUUUAAAUUACUUUCAUUAUCAGCUCCUAGCAAAGAAAGAUGCAUAGCUAAGAAGCAGUAGCAGUUUUCUGCAGGCAACUUUGUUGCAAACUAGUCUAGAAUAGUUAUUCUGCCAGGAUCUCUGAGUUUUGAACGGAGCAGGUAACCAGCCAAGGCCCCAGUGAAGGAUCAUUUCACAACAUUCACCUCUAGCAAAGAAAGAUGCAUAACUUGGAAACAGUGACAGUUUUCUUUAUUCAACUUUGUAGCAAAGUAGUCUACAGUAGUUACUGUGUCAGGAUCUCCUGGUUUCUAACGGAAAAGUCAAGCAGCCAAGGCCAGAGCGAGGGAUCUCUUCAGAGUGUGGCAAAGAAAGGUGCACCCCUUAGUAAGAGUAACAGUUCUCUUCAAGCUACCUUGUAGCUAGUUACUCUGUCAGGACCUCCAAUCUGAACAGUCAACCAGCCAAGGACAGAGCGAGAUUUUACUUCAGAGCUGUGAUGAAUGCUGGAAUUUUGUCUUGAAUCGGAGAUCGGAAAGUUUGGGCCAACAGAUUGGUUGAGAUGGUGGGAGUCCAUAGUCAGGCCAGGAGUGGAACUGCUUACAGUCUGUGAAACUAUCGUCACUGCUAUCUGCCAUGGAACCACCACCAUCUUAUGGGUCUGAGAAGGUCUACUCACUGUGACUACUAUCCAGGAUACCUAGGAGUACCUCAUCCCCUGUGUACAGAGGCCUCUUAGUCAUUGUUGUACCAUAGAAUUAAUUGUAAUUGUAUUUAUUAUAAUGUAUGUUCACUUUUGAGAUUGAUAUUGAAAUACAAAUUUCACAUGAAAAUUUCAGCAAA